UGCCGCGUGUGUGAAGAAGGCCUUCGGGUUGUAAAGCACUUUCAUCGUGAGGAAGGUGUGUUAAUAGCUAUUAUUUGACGUUAGCGACAGAAGAAGCACCGGCUAACUCCGUGCCAGCAGCCGCGGUAAUACGGAGGGUGCGAGCGUUAAUCGGAAUUACUGGGCGUAAAGCGCAUGCAGGUGGUUUGUUAAGUCAGAUGUGAAAGCCCGGGGCUCAACCUCGGAAUAGCAUUUGAAACUGGCAGACUAGAGUACUGUAGAGGGGGGUAGAAUUUCAGGUGUAGCGGUGAAAUGCGUAGAGAUCUGAAGGAAUACCGGUGGCGAAGGCGGCCCCCUGGACAGAUACUGACACUCAGAUGCGAAAGCGUGGGGAGCAAACAGGAUUAGAUACCCUGGUAGUCCACGCCGUAAACGAUGUCUACUUGGAGGUUGUGGCCUUGAGCCGUGGCUUUCGGAGCUAACGCGUUAAGUAGACCGCCUGGGGAGUACGGUCGCAAGAUUAAAACUCAAAUGAAUUGACGGGGGCCCGCACAAGCGGUGGAGCAUGUGGUUUAAUUCGAUGCAACGCGAAGAACCUUACCUACUCUUGACAUCCAGAGAACUUUCCAGAGAUGGAUUGGUGCCUUCGGGAACUCUGAGACAGGUGCUGCAUGGCUGUCGUCAGCUCGUGUUGUGAAAUGUUGGGUUAAGUCCCGCAACGAGCGCAACCCUUAUC
rnacentral:rRNA from 1 species